CAAUGUCCGCCAUGACAAAUUGAACCAAAUAUCGCGUCUGUUUUGUUCGCUGCAGCGGUGCCGUUUUUCCAUUUUCUGUGGUGAAAAUUAAGAAAAAAUGUUUGAACUGCCGCUGUUACUAUCAAGUUAUGGCCGUACGAUGACCGGAAAAUCUGGAACAACCAGCAUCUCGUGGCCAACCGAACCGAAUCCUCAUUCGGUAGAUCCAGCUCAAUAAAAGUGUGCUUCAACAGUGUUAAAUAUUAUGAAAAUAAAUGUUCUAAAACUGUUUCA